rnacentral:rRNA from 1 species
UACGUAGGGGGCGAGCGUUGUCCGGAAUUAUUGGGCGUAAAGCGCACGUAGGCGGUCAUUUAAGUCAGACGUGAAAAACCUAGGCUCAACCAAGGUAUUGCGUUUGAAACUGGAUGGCUUGAGGGCAGGAGAGGAUAGCGGAAUUCCUAGUGUAGCGGUGAAAUGCGUAGAGAUUAGGAGGAACACCAGUGGCGAAGGCGGCUAUCUGGCCUGCACCUGACGCUGAGGUGCGAAAGCUGGGGGAGCGAACGGGAUUAGAUACCCCGGUAGUCCCAGCCGUAAACGAUGGGCACUAGGUGUAGGAGGUAUCGACCCCUUCUGUGCCGUAGCAAACGCAAUAAGUGCCCCGCCUGGGGAGUACGGUCGCAAGACUGAA